rnacentral:rRNA from 1 species
AUGAUCAAAAAUGCCCAGAAAAAUAAGCUGAUCACGGGAUUAGCUUCUGACCUGAUUCAGGAUGGGGUCGCAGUGUUGCAGUAUGCGGACGAUACUAUCAUCUGUUUAGAACAUGAUAUAGAGAAAGCGGUUAACCUGAAGUUGCUGCUUUAUAUCUUUGAAAUGAUGUCCGGACUCAAAGUGAAUUUUCGAAAAAGUGAGAUCCUCACGGUGGACGGGGAUGACAGUGUUCUCAGAGAAUAUGCUGAAUUAUUUAACUGUGAUAUUGGGAGUUUUCCUAUCAAGUACUUAGGGAUGCCUGUGAGCUACACCAAUCUUCGCAAUUCUGAUUGGGAAUCCAUUGUGGUUAAGUAUCUUAAGAGAUUCGAAGUCUGGAUUGGCAAUGCCGCAUCCAUGGGGGGCAGACUUGCUCUGCUUGACUCAGUGCUUACUCAACUAUCCAUCUUUCACAUGUCUAUGUGGCUCAUGAAUAAAACAUUCAUUAAAAAGUUGGAUAAACAUAGACGUAGAUUUUUCUGGCAAGGUUGUAAUAAGAAGAGGAGAUAUCAUCUUGUCAAGUGGAAUAGGAUCUGUAGAUCCAGAGACAAAGGAGGCCUGGGGGUUAAAGACCUUAGAAAACAAAAUAUUGGUUUAAUGGUCAAAUGGUGGUGGAAGUUGGAGACCCAAAAUGGGUUGUGGCAGGAUAUUGUACGUGCUAGAUACCUUAGAAACAAAACUGUUACUGAGGUUUGUGCCAAGUUUUCUGAUUCACCAUGCUGGAAAGGUCUUUUGAAGGUGAAAGAGGUAUAUAUAUAUAUGAUGGGGAGGAAAAUUAACAUAGAAUCUAGGAAUAUUGCUCGGGUGUGGAUGGAUCCCAUCAAUGGGCUGCCCCCCUUUCGGGAAUAG